GUUCUUUUGAUUUUAAUAUAAGAUCGGGCCUGCCCAUUGAUUUAAAGUAUUAAAAGGCUGCGGUAUUUUAACUGUACGAAGGUAGCAUAAUCACUUGUCUUUUAAUUGGAGGCUAGAAUGAAUGGUUUGAUGAGAAAUAAUCUUUCUUUAGAUAAUUUAUUUGAAUUUAAUUUUUUAGUUAAAAAGCUAAAAUUUUUUUAUAGGACGAGAAGACCCUAUAGAGGUUUACUAAUUAUAUAAAUUAUAUUUUUUUGGUGAUUAAUUUAUUUUUUAGAAAAAUUAGUUUUGUUGGGGUGACAAUAAAAUUUUAUUAACUUUUAUUAUUUAUUUUCAUUAAUUUAUGUUUUUUUGAUCCAGAAUUUUUGAUUAAAAGAUUAACCUACCUUAGGGAUAACAGCGUAAUCUUUUUGGAGAGUUCAUAUCGAUAAAAAGGUUUGCGA
rnacentral:rRNA from 1 species